AGAGUUUGAUCCUGGCUCAGAUUGAACGCUGGCGGCAGGCCUAACACAUGCAAGUCGAACGGUAGCACAGAGGAGCUUGCUCCUUGGGUGACGAGUGGCGGACGGGUGAGUAAUGUCUGGGAAACUGCCCGAUGGAGGGGGAUAACUACUGGAAACGGUAGCUAAUACCGCAUAACGUCGCAAGACCAAAGAGGGGGACCUUCGGGCCUCUUGCCAUCGGAUGUGCCCAGAUGGGAUUAGCUAGUAGGUGGGGUAACGGCUCACCUAGGCGACGAUCCCUAGCUGGUCUGAGAGGAUGACCAGCCACACUGGAACUGAGACACGGUCCAGACUCCUACGGGAGGCAGCAGUGGGGAAUAUUGCACAAUGGGGGAAACCCUGAUGCAGCCAUGCCGCGUGUGUGAAGAAGGCCUUCGGGUUGUAAAGUACUUUCAGCGGGGAGGAAGGUGUUGUGGUUAAUAACCGCAGCAAUUGACGUUACCCGCAGAAGAAGCACCGGCUAACUCCGUGCCAGCAGCCGCGGUAAUACGGAGGGUGCAAGCGUUAAUCGGAAUUACUGGGCGUAAAGCGCACGCAGGCGGUUGGAUAAGUUAGAUGUGAAAGCCCCGGGCUCAACCUGGGAAUUGCAUUUAAAACUGUCCAGCUAGAGUCUUGUAGAGGGGGGUAGAAUUCCAGGUGUAGCGGUGAAAUGCGUAGAGAUCUGGAGGAAUACCGGUGGCGAAGGCGG
rnacentral:rRNA from 1 species